GACCCUAUCGUCUAGUGGUUAGGACACCACCCUUUCACGGUGGCGGCCGGGGUUCGAAUCCCCGUAGGGUCGCCA
rnacentral:tRNA from 2 species